GACGAACGCUGGCGGCGUGCCUAAUACAUGCAAGUCGAACGCAGUGGGGACGGGUGAGUAACACGUGGGUAACCUCCCAUCAGAGGGGAUAACAAUUGGAAACAGGUGCUAAACCGAUACUGAUGGUUGGACCAGCGGUGCAUUGGCUAGUUGGUGAGGUAACGGCGCACAAAGGCAACGAUGCAUAGCUGACCGAGGAGGGGUACCGGCCAAACUGGAACUGAGACACGGCCCAGACUCCUACGGGAGGCAGCAGAAGGAAAUCUUCGGCAAGGGGCGAAAGCCUGACGGAGCAACGCCGCGUAAGUGAUGAGGGUCUUCGGAUCGUAAAACUCUGUUAUUAGGGAAGCGGUACCUAAUCAGAAAGCCACGGCUAACUACGUGCCAGCCGCCGCGGUAAUUC
rnacentral:rRNA from 1 species